GUAGUCCACGCUGUAAACGGUGGGUACUAGGUGUGGGGUCCAUUCCACGGGUUCCGUGCCGUAGCUAACGCUUUAAGUACCCCGCCUGGGGAGUACGGCCGCAAGGCUAAAACUCAAAGGAAUUGACGGGGCCCCGCACAAGCGGCGGAGCAUGCGGAUUAAUUCGAUGCAACGCGUAGAACCUUACCUGGGUUUGACAUGGAUCGGGAGUGCUCAGAGAUGGGUGUGCCUCUUUUGGGGUCGGUUCACAGGUGGUGCAUGGCUGUCGUCAGCUCGUGUCGUGAGAUGUUGGGUUAAGUCCCGCAACGAGCGCAACCCUUGUUCACUGUUGCCAGCACGUUAUGGUGGGGACUCAGUGGAGACCGCCGGGGUCAACUCGGAGGAAGGUGGGGAUGACGUCAAGUCAUCAUGCCCCUUAUGUCCAGGGCUUCACGCAUGCUACAAUGGCUGGUACAGAGAGUGGCGAGCCUGUGAGGGUGAGCGAAUCUCGGAAAGCCGGUCUCAGUUCGGAUUGGGGUCUGCAACUCGACCUCAUGAAGUCGGAGUCGCUAGUAAUCGCAGAUCAGCAACGCUGCGGUGAAUACGUUCCCGGGGCUUGUACACACCGCCCGUCAAGUCAUGAAAGUUGGUAACACCCGAAGCCGGUGGCCUAACCGUUGUGGGGGAGCCGUCGAAGGUGGGACUGGUGAUUAGGACUAAGUCGUAACAAGGUAGCCGUACCGGAAGG
rnacentral:rRNA from 1 species